GACGGAGGAUGCAAGCGUUAUCCGGAAUUAUUGGGCGUAAAGGGUCUGCAGGUGGCAGUUCAAGUCUGCUGUCAAAGACCGGGGCUUAACUUCGGAAAGGCAGUGGAAACUGAACAGCUAGAGUAUGGUAGGGGCAGAGGGAAUUCCUGGUGUAGCGGUGAAAUGCGUAGAUAUCAGGAAGAACAUCGGUGGCGAAGGCGCUCUGCUGGACCAUAACUGACACUCAGGGACGAAAGCUAGGGGAGCGAAUGGG
rnacentral:rRNA from 1 species